GAUGGACGCUGGCGGCGUGCCUAAUACAUGCAAGUCGAGCGAACAGACGAGGAGCUUGCUCCUCUGACGUUAGCGGCGGACGGGUGAGUAACACGUGGACAACCUACCUAUAAGACUGGGAUAACUUCGGGAAACCGGAGCUAAUACCGGAUAAUAUAUUGAACCGCAUGGUUCAAUAGUGAAAGACGGUUUUGCUGUCACUUAUAGAUGGAUCCGCGCCGCAUUAGCUAGUUGGUAAGGUAACGGCUUACCAAGGCAACGAUGCGUAGCCGACCUGAGAGGGUGAUCGGCCACACUGGAACUGAGACACGGUCCAGACUCCUACGGGAGGCAGCAGUAGGGAAUCUGCCGCAAUGGGCGAAAGCCUGACGGAGCAACGCCGCGUGAGUGAUGAAGGUCUUCGGAUCGUAAAACUCUGUUAUUAGGGAAGAACAAAUGUGUAAGUAACUAUGCACGUCUUGACGGUACCUAAUCAGAAAGCCACGGCUAACUACGUG
rnacentral:rRNA from 1 species